rnacentral:rRNA from 1 species
UACGUAGGGUGCAAGCGUUGUCCGGAAUUAUUGGGCGUAAAGAGCUCGUAGGCGGUUUUGUAAGCCAGAUGUGAAAGCCCCGGGCUUAACCUGGGAAUGGCAUUUGGGACUGCAAGGCUUGAGUGCGGCAGAGGAGACUGGAAUUCCUGGUGUAGCAGUGAAAUGCGUAGAUAUCAGGAGGAAUACCGAUGGCGAAGGCAGGUCUCUGGGCUGACACUGACGCUCAUGCACGAAGCGUGGGGAGC